CUUGUACUCCCUUCGUCCGAAAAUAUUUGUCAUUGAAAUGGAUGUAUCUAGAUGUAUUUUAGUUCUAGACACAUCCAUUUUGAUGACAAGUAAUUCCGGACGGAGGGAGUACUUG
rnacentral:pre_miRNA from 1 species